ensembl:lncRNA
AUACACACACACAGCUAACAGUGUCGUUUGUAGAAACUCCUCAACAAGUUUAACGGAAUUCUUUGCUUUAAAGUCUGAAAAUUAAAAAAACACCAGAAUUAAAAGUGCAGCAUUUACGAUUUAUGACAUUAUUGUCUCUCAUCAGAUCAUGUUUGAUUUUUCACUUUUUCACUGCUGUUGCAAUAUUAUUGAAACCAACCAACCUGUAAUCCCAGUAAUAAAAACACUCGCAAAGUUCAACAUAUUUUAUUUUAUCUACAGUAUGAAAAAAAAAUAAAUGUGAAAAUGUACUUGUGUAACUCCAUUAUCAAUUAAAUGUUUAACCGUGACUUGAAAUACCACAGGAGUCCACGGCCCACGACUGUUAGCGUCCGUUCCCGUGUGAACGUGAACGCUGCCCACCUGAAAUCGCCUCGGCGUUGCAUUCUGAACAAGUGGAUUGCUCGAUAUGACAUAUUCAUUUCACAAAAGAGGUUAAGCACAGAAAAACUGCGGGGUGCCAUGGUGCACAUGAAAUGGCAAAAAAAAAAAAAUACUAUGGUGCUGAGCGCCUUUCAAAAUAAAAUGAAAAUAAAUUUAAGGAGAUACAUUUUCAUCUCAUCUUCACAGAGGGAAACAGAGAGCCAGGGCUGCCUCAAAAAUAAAUGAAUGCCUAACAAUGUUUUUGAUGUCCUAUAUUUAAAUUUGUACGGUUACUUACAUUACUCCUACUUGCCUGGUCUUGGAACUAAUCCGAUUGAUAUGGAAAUGGGGUGCUCUGUUUCAUGACAGAGUUGGGGAGAGAGGGAGAGAGAGAGAAUUCCCAGGUUCGCUCCUACUCAAAAUGUGCUGAAAACAGAUUUUCACAAUCCUGUGGCUUCAUGGUAUAGGUUAUAGGGGAUUACACAAACCACUUAAAGCUCUACAAUGAGCUGCUCUUUUCAACCAAGAGGAAAAAACAAAAAAAGCACUUCAUGCUGGACAAAUUGUCCACACUGAAGAGGAACGAAUUAAAUAAAUAUUGUCAUUGUUUUGGGAUCCAUCCUUUGUCUUAUUUUUAAUUUUACAGAUUUUCUCAAGGGAAAGGCUUCCAAGUUAUUUUGCGAUAGUAAUAAAAUAAUCAGAAGAACUUUAUUGUUUAAAGAAAAC